UAUAUCAUAUCCAUGCUAAAAAUUUACCCAAACUAGGGAGAAGGCAAUAGGAUUCUACAAGGGUAUUAAGUAAUUCAACCUACGAGUCCAAAACCCUAUCUAAUCUCCAAACUUAUAUGUAUAUUCAAUACUAAGUCAUUCUAUCCAAUAUCAAUCUUAACAUUCACGUUCACACGCAAUAUAUAUCAUACAUCAUCCAUGAAGAAGAGUAGACAGAAGCCUACCUCAAGGCUAAACUGCAAAAUCACACUUCAAGCACCACAUGCUCGUCUUCACUUCACAAUCCCCAAAAUGCCAUCACACUAUCAAAAAUAUAAUCUACUUAUCAAUACGAGUCUAAUGAUACCCAUAUUGCACUAUUGUGCUUCGGGUCCAAAAAUGACACCAAAAACCCCAAGUGGGUCCCACAUACGAAAAUCACAUUUUCGAGGUCAACCCAAUGCACAUCUACCACCAAGGAAGCAUAACCCUCAACUGAUGGGUGCAAAUAAACAAAAUUUGGGGCUAAAUAUAGCCCUAAGCUAAAUUGAGGUUUUGGGUCAAGAACAAUGAAAUUCACCAAUAAAGUGAUAAAAUCUUACCUUAAUCCGGAUGAUAAUCAUUAUAAAAGAUGUUUACCAAGCUCCCUAGACAUCCACAAGACUCAAUUUUGAGUGAUCAUACCCAUUUAGAGUUUUAGGUUCUCAAAUGUGAAAGAAAAUCCCCAAAAUCGCGACCUUGGGUCUAUUUAUAGACCCUUUUGGCGAACAGCGCGGUACCCUAUGAUAGCAAAGUCAAUAAAUUAUUUUUGACCCUCAGAACACAUUCAGAACCCAAAAUAUAUGAUCCAAAAGUGAAAUUUGAGUGUAAACCACAAUUCAAAUCCAUUGGAAUCAUAAAAACUUCCAUACAAGGUCUUUUAUGCAAAAAGUGGGGCCCACAUAUAUAGUUUCGAUUUUAUGACUUUCCGACUAAUAGGUCGAAAUGAGCUCGGGUGCUUUGGGACUCGAACCAAAGGUCUACUUAGAAUAAAAUCAAUAUUUCGAAUAUGCUGGCAUAGUUGAAAUUUUCAUCCGAGAUCAUUUCGCUGGAGUUUUUGAUCGGUGGCCAUUUGAAACCAACGAAGACUUCUGAACAGGGAGUUGACUCUAAAAAACAAACGAAUUUCCCGGUAACCGAACCGUCAGUCCUAGCAAGUCAUAAAUGACUUAGGGCAGCUAUGGAGAAGCUCAAACGGUGAAGAUAAGCAUAAAUAUGGAAAAUGAUCUGAAGGGUCAUUAAAAUAUCCACUACUAAAAGGACUUUCGUCCCCGAAAGUCAACGAAUAGAAAUAAUCUCAAAGGCUCGAAGUGAUGAGGUACUGGGCCCGCAUGCUUCAAGAAUGACUUCCCAGGUAAUCUCAACGAGGAGAGAACACUUGCAAGGGAUUUCACCACAGGUAUCCCUUUUUCAACCUGCUCCCUCACUUUACUUCCCAAACAACCAAACCUCAACUUUAACCGCUAAAUGGCGCCUCCAACUAAACUGAAAAAAUUGAUGCACGCAAAUAUGAAAAAACUGAUGCACGUAAAUAUGAACCACAUCACAUGCCUGAUGGGCAUAGGAAAAAUAAAUCUGAAUGGGCCUAACUCCAGACCGACUGACUGAAUCAUCAACUGAGUCACCAAAUGCACCAUAUAUAACUAAAGAUGCCACAACUUCACGAGACCGAUUUGAAUGAGUUGAAUAACUGAAACUCCUAUGUCAAAGACACUCUCUAUACAAGUAGUCGGCCGCCCUAUACUCAUAGCAAUUCCUGGAGCAUCAACAUAGAGAGGACAUAAAUUGAGCUCAAAUAGACGGUCAACCAACGUUGGAGAAAUCCAUAAAUUUAUGUCCAAACUUCCAAAAUCAUAGUCUGUCUUAGGAACUCUAGGCUGAAGGGGAAUACAGUCUAACUCUAUCUGACCACCUAUCUCAUACGGGGGCAUUCUCUGAACGAGUGUCUCAUCACAACACAACCAAACCAAAAAUCAAAAAUACUUCAAGAUACUACCCCUCAUAAUCUAGAAUGGUCACCAUGACCUGAAAAACCAUACCAUACUCUGACAGUCUGAUAGGGACUCAACCCAAAUCCUUUUUAGCUACCGCUGAAGACCUUCGAUAUCCAUCUCUGAUUCUCUAGUUUGAUACUGCACUGAAAUUCUGGAAACCCGUAUUGGAGUCUUAUCCGUAUCUAUUGAAAAUAUUAUAUCAUACUUCGGGGAUAGAAUAGACCCAAAGAAUAUGUUCAAGGUUAAUCAGAAUGCAGACACACGAUAAGGAGUCAUGAAGUGAAUUUCCUAAAAUGUCACUGUAGCCUCCCGAAGAUAGGUUACGGACGUCUCCGCACCGAUCCGUAGGACUCUACAAAUACAUCGUUCUUGUUCUAAUACACCAAAGAAACCUAGGCUCUGAUAUCAAUUUGUCACGACCCAAUUUUUCAGGUCAUGAUGGCGCCUACCAUAAACCACCAGUAGGCUAGCCAACCUAUAGUCCGGAACGGCUAGUAACGGACUACUUAAUAACAUAAGAAAAAAAAUGCGGAAUAUAUAAGAUAAAGAUUAAUACAUAAAUGAAUCCCAAAACCUGGUGGUAUCAGUACAAGAGCUUCUAAACAUAAUAAAAGUACAAAAGGGAGAUAUCAAGGAGAAAUACACUGAUUCAACUUACCUCUGAAUACAACUUAGAGGCUAGUCUAAUACAUAGGAGAGAGAUAAGUAAUACUUUGAACGUCAGGAGCUCGCUCUAAGUCUCCAAAUCAGGGCUACUCCACACGAUGCACACAUCAACGGUGAUAAUUCAUACUAUGAUCUGUAGGCUGCAAAGGUGUAGUAUGAGUACCAAACGAAUAGUACUUAGUAGGCAACUGCCAACUGAGCUCCAAAGAUAAGGUAGAUAUAUACAAUAUAUAAACAGAAUGCAAACUACAACCAAAAGUUCAUAAAUCAUAUAAUAAGUCAAUGAGAAUAACAAGGGACAACUAUCAUAUUUAUGUCCAAGAGUCUAAAAUAAGAAGACUAAGAAAGAAUCAAGGUGAACUAUCCUAUUUCAGCUACAUUCAAUAUAUGUCAAUGCUAUACCGUAUAUCCCAGGUCAAUAUACAAGUAAAGAUCGAAAGAAAGACAUAUUGUAAUAUACAAGGCGAAAGAACGACUAUACAAUAUGAACAAUGAAUGAAAGGAUAUCUGAUAAUACCAUGGCUUCAUAUAGCUAGACAUAUAUAUAUAUAUAUAUAAACAAGACGUCACCUUAAACAUAACCUAAAUCGUCAUGUUCUCAUUUUUAGACAUCAUUAUAAUACUAUCGGGAUUCAAUACCUACAUACUCAGGAUUUCUAAUCCAUAUGGCUAGACAUAGAAUAAUCGUGCAUAGUAAAGUAAUCAUAAGAUAGCAAAGGUUGAAGACAUACCUCAAUCCUAAUACCGGGUCCAUGACCAAUCUGUCAUAAGGUAGCCAUAAUAAUGACCAUAACCAUGAUAAUAACAAUAUCAAUAAUAUCAUCAAUAAUCGGCUACUUUGAACAACCAAAUACCUAGCCGAUCCUAUACGUACCCCCACCGCCCCAAACUCAGAAGGUUCAAAAAACAUAUAAUAACACAAGGCAUAUUCUUCACCUAUGUCUAUGAAACCGUCCCAUACCGGCUGAUAGACAUAGGUGCAUACUGGUGAUAGGCGAUGCGCAUGCAGGAAUAAAUGCAAAAUAUACCAUCACAAUGUAUCAUAACUGUCCUCAUCAGGACCAUCAUCAUCGUCAUCAACCUCCGGGCUCACCGGGUAUCAAUAUCAUCUCAAUAGUAUCCUCCGGAUUUGAACCGGGUAUAAAUAUUAUCACAAUAUACUCCGGCCUUGCCGAGUAUCAAUAUCAUCUCAAUACUAUCCUCCGGACUCAAACCGGGUAUCAAUAUCAUCAUAAUAUCCUCCAGCCUUGUAGGGUAUCAAUAUCAUCUAAAUAGUAUCCUCCAGACUCGAACCGGGUAUCAAUAUCAUCAUAAUAUCCUCCGGCCUUGUAGGGUAUCAAUAUCAUCUAAAUAGUAUCCUCCAGACUCGAACCGGGUAUCAAUAUCAUCAUAAUAUCCUUCGGCCUUGCCAGGUAUCAAUAUCAUCUCAGUAGUAUCCUCCAAACUCGAACCGGGUAUCAAUAUCAUCAUAAUAUCCUCCAACCUUGCCGGGUAUCAAUGUAUCAUCAUAACUCUCGACACAUAAAUAUAGGCAUAUAAUAGGUGUACAGACGCAAACCGAUAUACUCAUAACCGUAAAGAUAUCUAUCUUAUCAAUACAUCCCAAUUACUCAUUCUUAGCUAACCAACAUUUAUUAUUAUUAAACCGCUAGUUCGCUAGUCAUCAUAUAACCUCUAGUUAUUAGCCUAAACAUUAUCCUUCAUAUAAUCCUUAUUCACGGGAUAACAAAUAACCACUAUUCAUUUAAUAGUCAACAUCUAACAUCUAGUCUAGGUUCAUCAUUAGACCAAAACAUCAUUUAUCCACCAUUCAUUAUUAUCAACUAUUCAUCCUAUUUUUGUUAAUCAUUACUCGACAACACAUUACUAUAAUCCAACCGACGUUAAAAAGACCGAAUAGACAACCGCAGAUAGGCUCAACCAGCCUAUAAAUGAUAUCUGAAUAAAGACAACUCUAAAAUAGAAGCUCCAUGCAAGUUCUACAACACCAAGCUUAAAUCUCAAUACUAAGGACGAAUCGCUCCUUCUCAAAUAUCUAAACAAAACUAAGAAUGGGUAAGCACUAAUAAUCCAAAUUUAUCAUACUUUCCAAUCUCCAUUCCAAAGCGUCAAGUCAAAACUGAACCACUACGAUACCCUAUCUAGGCAAAGAAAUAUCCCUAAACACAUAUCAUCGAGGAGAAUCACUCCACCAAGCCUUACUAGGCCAAACAAAUACUGAAAUAAGAAUUUCCUAAAUCCACCCAAGAACCACAUCAUCAAAGAAGAAAUAACAAUCUCAAAGCCAAGAUCAAAGUCGAGACAACCACCAGAGUACCAACAACUCAGGCUAAAGAGUUUCUAAUUUUCCAACUUUAGAAGCGAUCACAGGUAAGGCCACCUGCCUCUAUCUUUCAUCUUCUCUCGACAAAACCAUAUCAUAAUGACAAAAGAGUAUCCAAUUUCCACACUAACAAAAAGGCAAUCCAUCACAAGAGAGCGAACCAACUUACCUAUGAGAUGAAUCCAUGACAUCUCAACAUCAACAUCAAAUAUCUAUCAGACUAAGAAAUAGCCAUAUAUGAAGAACGAACCUCAAACUGGUCAAUCUCAUAAACGUCUAUAUCUAAAAGAAUAGCCAAGGGGAAAACCUUCGCAACCCAGAAGGCAAGUCUAAGGAUCUCAAACUCAAUAAUAGGCAAUGCAACUAUAUUUCCAAUUCUAGGGUGAAAAUAGAGCCAUAAAAGAUUAACCUGCCUUUCGGUAUCACAAUACAUCCUCGAAUCAAUCUAAUAUAGCUAACCAAGAGGGAACACAAUUAACCUCGCCAUGCUAGGGGAAAUAAAUCAUCAAAUCGGGCUACACCUACUCAACCACCAAAUAAUAGCACAAGAAAAUGAGAGUCUAACUAGAUAACACUAGUCUAUAUAGCUACCCAGCAAGAAUCAAUUAUAAAGUAACAACAUCAAGUAAUAAUAUCAAGUAAUAUCAGUAACCUCAUGCAGUGGUAGCAAUAGCAACAACAAUAUCAAAAUCAAUAUACUCGAUAGGUGGUACCAAAAUGAACAUCAAUAUUAUGUACCACUCAAGGGCCACAACAGGACUAAUGUGCCAAGAUAAAUGGGACUCGAACCCAAAGCAUACCUAUAAGGAAGAAAUAUCAAUAUAGAUCUACUCCAUCCACUACUAAAAGAAAUAAACCAUGGAGUAGUAAUAUAAUCAUGAAUUCAAUAAUAAGGCACAUAAUGACCGAUAUAAAUUCAUCAAGGCAUAUAAUUAUCAAGGGUAUGAAAACCCUAAUACACAUAAUAAAAGAUAAAGGCGAGAAUAAAAGCACACCAGUCGUGGCGACAUCUGUAAUCACAUGCAUGAUGGGCAUAGGAAAAAUAAAUCUGAAUGGGCCUAACUCAGACCGACCGACUGAAUCAUUAACUGAGUUUCCAAAUGCACCAUCUAUAACUGAAGAUACCACAACAUCACGAGGCCGAUCUGAAUGAGCUGAAUAACUGAAACUCCUAUGUCGAAGACACUCUCUAUACUAGUAGUCAAUCGCCCUAUACUCGUAGCAAUUCCUGGAGCAUUAACAUGGCGAGGACACAAACUGAGCUCAAAUGGACGAUCAACCAACGUCAGGAGAAAUCCAUAAAUUUAUGCCCAAACUUUCAAAAUCAUAGUCUGUCUUAGGAACUCUAGGCUGGCGGGGAAUACAGGCUAACUCUAUCAGACCACCUAUCUCAUACUAGGGGCAUUCUCUGAACGAGUGUCUCAUCACAACACAACUAAACCGAAAAUAUAAAAUACUUUGAGAUACUACCCCUUAUAAUCCAGAAUAAUCACUAUGACCCAAAAACCAUACCAUACUCCGACAGUCUGAUGGAGACUCAACCCAAAUCUUUUUUAGCUACCAUUGAAGACCUUCAAUAUCUUUCUCUGACUCUCUAGUUCGAUACUGCACUGAAAUUCUGAAAACCCGUAUAAGAGUCUUAUCUGUAUCUGUUGACAAUGCCGCACCAUCCUUCGGGGAUAGAAUAGAGUCAAAGAAUAUGUUCAAGGUUCAUCAGAAUGCGGACACACGAUAAGGAGUCAUGAAGUGAAUUUCCUAAAAUAUCACUGUAUACUCUCAAAGAUAGGUUACGGACGUCUCCGCACCAAUCCACAGGACUCAACAAACACUUAGCUCUUCUACUAAUACACUGAAGAAACCUAGGCUCUGAUACCAAUUUGUCACGACCCAACUUUUCAGGUCAUGAUGGCGCCUAUCAUAACCCACUAGUAGGCAAUCCAACCUCUAGUCCGGAAUGGCUAGUAACGGACUACUUAAUAACAUAAGAAAAAAAUACAAAAUAUAUAAGAUAAAGAUCAAUACAUAGAUGAAUCCCUAAACUUGGUGGUAUCAGUACAAGAGCUUCUAAACAUAAUAAAGUACAAAAGUGAGAUAUCAAGGAGAAAUACACUGGUUCAACUUACCUCUGAAUACAACUUAGAGGCUAAUACAUAGGAAGAGAUAAGUAAUACUACGAACGUCAGGAGCUCACUCUAAGUCUCCAAAUCAAGGAUACUCCACACGAUGCACACAUCAAUGGCAAUAACUCGUACUAUGAUCUGUAGGCUGCAGAGGUGUAGUAUCAGUACCAAAUGAAUAGUACUCAGUAGGCAACUACCAACUGAGCUCCAAAGUAAAGUAGAUAUAUACAACAUAUAAAUAGAAUGAAAACUACAACCAAAAGUCCAUAAAUCAUAUAACAAGUCAAUGAGAAUAACAAGGGACAACUAUCAUAUUUACGUCCAAGAGUCUAAAAUAAGAAGACUAAGGAAGAAUCAAGGUGAACUAUCCUAUUUCGGCUACAUUCAAUAUAUGCCAAUGCUAUAGCGUAUAUCCCAGGUCAAUAUACAAGUAAAGAGUGAAAGAAAGAUAUAUUGUAAUAUACAAGGCGAAAGAACGACUAUACAAUAUGAACAAUGAAUGAAGGGAUAUUCGAUAUAUAAACUCUAGCUAUAUGUAGCCAUGGUACUAUCGAAUAUCCCUUCAUUCAUUGUUCAUAUUGUAUAGUCAUUCUUUCGCCUUGUAUAUGAUAUUAUAUAUAUAUAUAUAUAUAUAUAAACAGGAGGUCAUCUCAAACAUAACCUAAAUUAUCAUGUUCUUAUUUUUAGACCUCAUUAUAAUACUAUCAGGAUUAAUUACAAACACACUCAGGACUUCUAAUCCAUAUGGCUAGACAUAGAAUAAUCGUGCAUAGUAAUGUAAUCAUAAGAUAACAAAGGUUGAAGACAUACCUCAAUCCCAAUACCAGAUCCAUGACCAAUCUGUCAUAAGCUAGCCAUAAUAAUGAUCAUAACCAUGAUAAUAACAAUAUCAAUAACAUCAUAAAUAAUCGGCUACUUUGAACAACCAAAUACCUAACCGAGCAUAUGCAUACCCCCACCACCCCAGACUCGAAAGGUUCAAUCAAUAUAUAAUAACACAAGGCAUAUUCUUCACCUAUAUCUAUGCAACCGUCCCAUACCAGCUGAUAGACAUAGGUGCAUACUAGUGAUAGGCGAUGCACAUGCAGGAAUGAAUGCAAAAUAUACCAUCAAUAUCACAAUGCAUCAUAACUAUCCUCAUCAGGACCACCAUCAUCAUCAUCAACCUCCGAACUCACCGGGUAUCAAUAUCAUCUCAAUAGUACCCUCCGGACUCAAACCAGGUAUCAAUAUUAUCACAAUAUCCUCCGACCUUGUCGGCUAUCAAUAUCAUCUCAAUAGUAUCCUCCAGACUCAAACCGAGUAUCAAUAUCAUCAUAAUAUCCUUUGGCCUUGUCGGGUAUCAAUAUCAUCUCAAUAGUAUUCUCCGGGCUCAAAUCGGGUAUCAAUAUCAUCAUAAUAUCCUUCGACCUUAUCGGGUAUCAAUGUAUCAUCAUAACUCUCGACACAUAAAUAUAGGCAUAUAAUAGGUGCACGACGCAAGCCGAUAUACUCAUAAUCGUAAAGAUAUCUAUCUUAUCAUUACAUCUCAAUUACUCAUUAUUAGCUAACCAACAUUUAUUAUUAUUAAACCGCUAGUUCGCUAGUCAUCACAUAACCUCUAGUUAUUAGCCUAAACAUUAUCCUUCACAUAAUCCUUAUUCACGGGAUAACAAAUAACCACUAUUCAUUUAAUAGUCAACAUCUAACAUCUUGUCUAGGUUCAUCAUUAGACCAAACCGACAUUUAUCCACCAUUCAUUAUUAUCAACUAUUCAUCCUAUUUUUGUCAAUCAUUACUAGACAACACAUUACUACUUGUUACCUAACCAUCUUUUAUUAAAUGACAUCACUCAUUAACUGACCAUCAUUAGCUACCAUGUUCCAACAAAGUAAGAUUCAUUAACUAAUACAUUAGUUUCCUAGCCAUCAAGUGCAAUAGUUAACUAAUAGACAACUAGUUACCACAUAGCUUAACCGUCUAACAAGAAGAAAAACCAUAAGAUCAUAUUUCGGCUAUAAUCACAUCAUUUAUAAUGGUAAAUAAUCAUGAACGUACCAAACUUAUGCAUGCCAUCACCACUAUUCAAUCAAUGGAAUAAUAAGUAUCAUACCGCAUCUUCCCCCGUCCCAUAUCGGAGAGAUGUGUAUACAAACAUAUACAUAUUCAUAAAUCACAAUCACAUCAUUCACAAUGAUAAACACUUCUUGGAUAUUUAAUCUGUACCAUAACACGGCCUUGGCCCAUUAAUUUAUCCGGAAUAAUCACAAUAUCAUAAUCAUGGCCUUAGGCCCAUAUACAUAUUCGGGACUCAUAUCAAUAAUCAUAUUUAUAAACCGUAGCAUAUCUAUAAUCAUCUCACAUAUAUGAGGUAUCUCACAUCUAGGAGGCAUAAUAUUAACAAGCAUAUCGCCUCUAUUAAACAUCUCAUAUCCAUAGGUUAUGCAUCAUGACCAUGAGGAAAAUUGUCUCUAUAGGCUUAGUAAUCAUAACUAAGAGGAAAAUCAUAUCUAUGGGCCAAAUAUCAUAACUAACGAGAAAAUGCAUCUCUAUAGGUAAAAUAUCAUAAUUAAGAGGAAAAUGCAUCUCUAGGGGCCAAAUAUCAUAAUAAAGAGGAAAAUGCAUCUCUAUGGGCAAAAUAUCAUAAUUAAGAGGAAAAUGCAUCUCUAUGGGCCAAAUAUCAUAAUAAAAAGAAAAAUGCAUCUCUAGAGGCCAAAUAUCAUAAUAAAGAGGAAAAUGCAUCUCUAUGGGCUAAAUAUCAUAAUUACGAGGAAAAUGCAUCUCUAUGGGUCAAGUAUCAUAAUAAAGAGGAAAAUGCAUCUCUAUGGGCAAAAUAUCAUAAUUAAGAGGAAAAUGCAUCUCUAGGGACCAAAUAUCAUAAUAAAGAAGAAAAUGCAUCUCUAGGGAUCAAACAUCAUAAUAAAGAGAAAAAUGCAUCUCUAUGGGCCACUAAUCAUAAUCCGUCGAAAAUCAUCACAAUUUAUCAAUUCACCAAGUAAUUCUCAUAAAUAAGUCUCAUUAGUCUCAUCUAGGUCUACUAUCCGCAACUAAGCCCACAAGGGCUAACAUAAAUCUUGGCCUAAGUGGGCCGGAUGAUCCCACUUCUAAUUCAUAAUUUUCAUAAUUAGGCAUACUAUGCUCCAAACAAGGCUAAGGUUUCUAGUUCAUCCUCUAGAUGUCAAGCAAGCCAUAUUAACGCCUAAGAUAAUAACUUCGACUAGAAAAAAGGGUACUCAAGUCGACUCUACCAAACUUAUGGUUCCAAAACUAUCACACUAGCCCAAUAAGGCUAAAUAUAAAAAUCAUGCUUCAAAUGCUAAAACCAUAUACCGAGCAUAGCAUUAUAUCAUAUACAUGCUACAAAUUUACCCAAACUAGUGAGAAGACAAUACGGUUCUACAAGGAUAUUAAGUAAUUCAACCUACAGGUCCAAAACCCUAUCUAAUCUUCAAACUUAUAUGUAUAUUCAAUACUAAGUCAUUCUAUCCAAUAUCAAUCUUAACAUUUACGUUCACAUGCAAUAUAUAUCAUACAUCAUCUAUGAAGAAGAGUAGACAAAAGCCUACCUCAAGGCUAAACCGCAAAAUCACACUUCAAGCACCACAUGCUCGUCU
rnacentral:lncRNA from 1 species